UACGGGGGGGGCAAGCGUUGUUCGGAAUUACUGGGCGUAAAGGGCUCGUAGGUGGCCAACUAAGUCAGACGUGAAAUCCCCAGGCUUAACCUGGGAACUGCGUCUGAUACUGGAUGGCUUGAAUUCGGGAGAGGGAUGCAGAAUUCCAGGUGUAGCGGUGAAAUGCGUAGAUAUCUGGAGGAAUACCGGUGGCGAAGGCAGCUCGCUGGGACGGUACUGACACUGAGACGCGAAAGCGUGGGGAGCAAACAGG
rnacentral:rRNA from 1 species